rnacentral:rRNA from 1 species
GUGGGGAAUCUUGCGCAAUGGGCGAAAGCCUGACGCAGCCAUGCCGCGUGAAUGAUGAAGGUCUUAGGAUUGUAAAAUUCUUUCACCGGGGACGAUAAUGACGGUACCCGGAGAAGAAGCCCCGGCUAACUUCGUGCCAGCAGCCGCGGUAAUACGAAGGGGGCUAGCGUUGCUCGGAAUUACUGGGCGUAAAGGGAGCGUAGGCGGACAUUUAAGUCAGGGGUGAAAUCCCGGGGCUCAACCUCGGAAUUGCCUUUGAUACUGGGUGUCUUGAGUAUGAGAGAGGUGUGUGGAACUCCGAGUGUAGAGGUGAAAUUCGUAGAUAUUCGGAAGAACACCAGUGGCGAAGGCGACACACUGGCUCAUUACUGACGCUGAGGCUCGAAAGCGUGGGGAGCAAACAGGAUUAGAAACCCUAGUAGUCCC